rnacentral:misc_RNA from 1 species
AAGUCGUAACAAGGUUUCCGUAGGUGAACCUGCGGAAGGAUCAUUAAUAAAUUAUCCAAGUAUGGAUUUUUUUCCAUAUACACCCAUGUGCACUGUUUAAAUGUUAUAAUAGAUUUUAUAUUUCCGAUGGUUUAAAAGUGUUUUAGUGAGAAAUUAUUUUUUCAUUAAUCACUCCGUCGGGAUGGAUCUAUAUUAUUAAACUCGAUUAUUUCUUUUACUUAAAAAGUCUGAAGUUAUAUUUUUUGUUUUCUUUUUUAAAGAAACUAAAAAUUAAAAUUGUAAUUAAAUACAACUUUCAACAAUGGAUCUCUAGGCUCUC